UACAGAGGGGGCAAGCGUUGUUCGGAAUUACUGGGCGUAAAGGGCGCGUAGGCGGCCUGUUAAGUCGAACGUGAAAUCCCCGGGCUCAACCCGGGAACUGCGUCCGAUACUGGCAGGCUUGAAUUCGGGAGAGGGAUGCGGAAUUCCAGGUGUAGCGGUGAAAUGCGUAGAUAUUGGGAGGAAUACCGGUGGCGAAGGCGGCUCCCUGGACCGGUACUGACGCUGAGGCGCGAAAGCGUGGGUAGCAAACAGG
rnacentral:rRNA from 1 species